ACACCCCAGAGGACGUGUCCAUUUAUCGCUAGACACACACCGUCAAUACAUACAACGCUGGGCCAAAAUGUUAGAACGAAUUUUAACAGACUGGUUUGUGUUUUUGUUUAUGGUAGCAAUCGAAUGUGUCGGAACAGAUCAAAAUGGUCUUUGUCCGAGAUAUCAUAUGGGUUGCUGUCCUGACACAAGAUGGGAUUUUAAAGAAGAACAAUGUGUCGAAUGCGCGAAUGGCUUCUUCGGAUUGAACUGCAGCAGGUCGUGUCCAUUUCCUUUAUAUGGUAAUAAGUGUCUUCAAACAUGUUCAUGCGAAGAGGUCAUGUGUGAUUUCAUGAAUGGGUGCAAAAACGGCAAGUAUAAUUUUUAAACAGUUACAAUGUAAAUCUAAUGUUGUCCAAUCGUUAAUUUGUG